rnacentral:rRNA from 1 species
CAGCCCCUCGAGUGGUGGGGAUGAUUAUUUGGCCUAAAGCGUCCGUAGCCGGCGCUGUAAGUCUCCCGUUAAAUCCAGCGUCUCAAGCGUUGGACUGCGGGAGAUACUGUACGGCUAGAGAGUGGGAGAGGUCAGCGGUAUUCUGGGGGUAGGGGCGAAAUCCUUUGAUCCCCGGAGGACCACCAGUGGCGAAGGCUGCUGACUAGAACACGUCUGACGGUCAGGGACGAAAGCUGGGGUAGCGAACCGGAUUAGAUACCCGAGUAGUCC